rnacentral:sRNA from 1 species
CCAGGUACGGGCGCUCUCGGGUCCCUGUGGGUGGCCGGCAGAGGUGAGGAUUCGGUCUGGGUCCUGGGCUGAGCGCCGAGGAGCACAGUGCCCUGGGAAGUCCGGCUCAGGGCUGGGCUGCGGAGCACGGAGGCGGCUGGGGCACGGAGUGGCCGGGAGAGCUAGCCGGCGCUCGCUCUCUCCAUUCACUGAGCAGGGCAGACACCGGAGACGCGGGGCCCAGCCCCUCCCGCCCCCCUCCCAAAACACCAGCUCCGCCUCCCAUUGGCUGCGCUGAGCGUCACGUCGACUAAGUUGGGAACUUUGCUGGAGCAACCAAGAGCCUGGAGGGAGGAGGCGGCAGGGGAGCUAGAGAGACCCAACUGGGAAGGAAAGGGACUUGACCAGCCGGGCCGCCAGGAAAGAAACAUGGAAAUCCAUUUAUUCUUGGGAACCAAGGAUUGAUAAACCUUGUGGCUUCAUUGGUUUUUGUUUUUGUUUUUAAUUCAGUCACCGAGCUGGAUACAGAAUACCGACAUGGGCGCAUCAGAAACUGGGCUUCAUGUUUUAGGAGAAACCUCAUCGCCAUAAGGAAAGAUGCUGAGAAACCAUCACACCUCACCACUCCCUGGAUAAAUGUACUCCUCAACCCUCAUCCACGAGACUUCUCUUUGAAACGGAGACAAUUGCAGAAAACCACCGCCAAUAAAAACGCAGCAUUGUGGAGCCUAGUCCCAAUAGAAACAUCACCAAAACAACUGCUACACUCUUGA